rnacentral:rRNA from 1 species
UACGAGGGGGGCAAGCGUUGUUCGGAAUUAUUGGGCGUAAAGGGCGCGUAGGCGGUGCGGUAAGAGUGUUGUGAAAUCUUCGGGCUCAACUCGAAGUCUGCAACGCUGACUGCCGUGCUUGAGUGUGGGAGAGGUGAGUGGAACUGCGAGUGUAGAGGUGAAAUUCGUAGAUAUUCGCAAGAACACCAGUGGCGAAGGCGGCUCACUGGCCCGGUACUGACGCUGAGGUGCGAAAGCGUGGGGAGCAAACAGG